rnacentral:rRNA from 1 species
UACGAAGGUCCCAAGCGUUGUUCGGAAUCACUGGGCGUAAAGAGUAUGUAGGCGGUCUGGAAAGUCAGGUGUGAAAGCCCGGGGCUCAACCUCGGAACUGCACCCGAUACUCCCAGACUAGAGUAAUGGAGGGGUAACUGGAAUUCUCGGUGUAGCAGUGAAAUGCGUAGAUAUCGAGAGGAACACUCGUGGCGAAGGCGAGUUACUGGACAUUUACUGACGCUGAGAUACGAAGGCUAGGGUAGCGAAAGGG